rnacentral:lncRNA from 1 species
AGACCAAAUCAACUCUGAACUAUUUUAACACUUAAAUCACCAGUAACAUAGUUUCACAUUUUCAAUUGUGUAUCACCUAAAUGUUCUGGAAAGAAACACCCUGACCACUGCCAUCCAGGCUCAUCAAAACGAGUAGAAACCAGUGAUUCCCUGUUUUAUGUAACUACUACUUAUUAUUAUAUAAGCAUGUGAACGAACUGUGGUAAGAAAAAAUUACAAACACUGUACCUUGUUAUGUCUGUCCAAUGAAUAUGGGAGUGUUGUCCCACCUUCAAAUGGUAUAUAAAGUCAGACCCUUUCUGCCUAAAACAAAAGUCCUUACUGCAUGCAUUACUAAUAAGAUAUCUAGGCUGAAAAUUGAUAAUCCUUGUUCUUCCACAAAUAGCACUAGAUGCGACAGAUAUUAUAGAUGAGGAAUUGGUUGAUGAUCGGGGGACAAGGAUUGUAGUUGAACUAGUUGGUUGGACAAGGAAGAAUUGACUAGACCACAUGUAGUUUGAGGUACUUGCCACAUCAGAUUCAGAUUGGGAUCGACUAACUCUGACCAUGAUCUCACUCGAAGCAAUAUUAGGGUCAGAACAAAUAUGCAGAUUUCACGAGCCCUAGAGAAUGCAUCCAUCACCUUUUCCAUUGUCACAUAUAAUGGACCUACACAAAAACACACC